rnacentral:rRNA from 1 species
UACAGAGGUCCCAAGCGUUGUUCGGAUUCACUGGGCGUAAAGGGUGCGUAGGUGGCCAGGUAAGUUCGGUGUGAAAGCUCGGAGCUUAACUCCGAAAUGUCAUUGAAUACUAUCUGGCUGGAGGGUCGGAGGGGAGACUGGAAUUCUCGGUGUAGCAGUGAAAUGCGUAGAUAUCGAGAGGAACACCAGUGGCGAAGGCGAGUCUCUGGACGACUCCUGACACUGAGGCACGAAAGCCAAGGGGAGCAAACAGG